UACGUAGGGCGCAAGCGUUGUCCGGAAUUAUUGGGCGUAAAGCGUGCGCAGGCGGUUUGUUAAGUCUGUUGUGAAAUCCCCGAGCUCAACUUGGGAAUUGCAAUGGAUACUGGCAGGCUGGAGUAUGGUAGAGGAAGGUGGAAUUCCCGGUGUAGCAGUGAAAUGCGUAGAGAUCGGGAGGAACACCAGUGGCGAAGGCGGCCUUCUGGACCAAUACUGACGCUCAUGCACGAAAGCGUGGGGAGCAAACAGG
rnacentral:rRNA from 1 species